rnacentral:tRNA from 1 species
UCAUCCAGGGCUCAGUUGUUAGAGCGCAGGUCUCGUAACCAAAAGGUUGUGGGAUCGAAUCCCGAUGGAGGCU